AAAAUCGGUGAGGUCUUCUCGUAUCAUUCUAGCUAGCACCAAUAAUGGCAACGAUAUUGCGGUCCAACCAAUUUGUGCGCCAUUUCGCCGGAUUCACGCGGAACAUAGUUUUCAACACAUUCCGGGAAGUUUUAUUCAGCAGUCACAAUGUUUGUGUGGCAGUUCUGUGAGGAAACCUAGUUCCAGAAGAGCUUCCCGAGGUGCGUACAGCUCUAGUUCCGGAGAAAUGGAAAACGUUGAACAGCUGGAACGAAGCAAUGGACAUUUCCAAAACUACGCCCUUCUUCGGGUGUAUUUGGAUAAUAAGCAAUCCUUCUCGCCAACGGAAUUUCUGGCGGAUCUGCAGGCUAAGGGAGUUGAACCAAACCGAUUCCCUGCGAGAGAAUGAAUACGUUUUAAACGCUGCGCCAGGACAAUUUGUUUGCCCUACGUAUCGAUAAAGAGCGGCGUGGAAAAUCGAUUCUACCUAACCUGCUGGAGGUGCAAUCAGAUCGCUAGAUCAUUGAAAUCUAAAAGAUUGCAAAUGCACGGUCAAAUUGUGUAUUUCAGGUUACGCUACCGGGACAGUUCUAAUGCAUGCUAUGAAUUGCUUGGCACCGGAACCUCGGGACAGGGCAUGCUGAUUGUAAUAUUAAUAAUAGAUAGGAAGAAUCACAACAAAAAUGGUUUUAGACGAA